ACGGAGGCAGCAGUGGGGAAUCUUGCGCAAUGGGCGAAAGCCUGACGCAGCCAUGCCGCGUGAAUGAUGAAGGUCUUAGGAUUGUAAAAUUCUUUUAGCAGGGACGAUAAUGACGGUACCUGCAGAAAAAGCCCCGGCUAACUUCGUGCCAGCAGCCGCGGUAAUACGAAGGGGGCUAGCGUUGCUCGGAAUUACUGGGCGUAAAGGGAGCGUAGGCGGGUUAUCAAGUUGGAGGUGAAAGCCCAGGGCUCAACCUUGGAAUUGCCUUCAAAACUGAUAGCCUAGAGUAUGGAAGAGGUAAGUGGAACUCCGAGUGUAGAGGUGAAAUUCGUAGAUAUUCGGAAGAACACCAGUGGCGAAGGCGACUUACUGGUCCAUGACUGACGCUGAGGCUCGAAAGCGUGGGGAGCAAACAGGAUUAGAUACCCGAGUAGUCC
rnacentral:rRNA from 1 species